AUCGCUUCUCGGCCUUUUUGGCUAAGAUCAAGUUAGUAUCUGUUCUUACUCAGUUUAAAUCUGAUAUGUCCUCUAUUGAGGACUACAUAUUAAGCAGAUUUUGGCAUGAGGGGCAGAAAUCUGGAGCUGUCUCUCCACGCAUCGACCUAGCAUUGCAGUGCCGCUGGGAACGGUGCACUCUGU